rnacentral:rRNA from 1 species
CGAAAGCCUGACGGAGCAAUACCGCGUGAGGGAAGACGGCCUAUGGGUUGUGAACCUCUUUUCUCAGGGAGGAACUCAAUGACGUUACCUGAGGAAUAAGCAUCGGCUAACUCCGUGCCAGCAGCCGCGGUAAGACGGAGGAUGCAAGUGUUAUCCGGAAUCACUGGGCGUAAAGCGUCUGUAGGUGGCUUAACAAGUCAACUGUUAAAUCUUGAAGCUCAACUUCGAAAUCGCAGUCGAAACUGUUAGGCUAGAGUAUAGUAGGGGUAAAGGGAAUUUCCAGUGGAGCGGUGAAAUGCGUAGAGAUUGGAAAGAACACCGAUGGCGAAGGCACUUUACUGGGCUAUUACUGACACUCAGAGACGAAAGCUAGGGUAGC